rnacentral:rRNA from 1 species
AAUCCUUUAACGAGGAUCAAUUGGAGGGCAAGUCUGGUGCCAGCAGCCGCGGUAAUUCCAGCUCCAAUAGCGUAUAUUAAAGUUGUUGCAGUUAAAAAGCUCGUAGUUGGAUCUCAGGAUUUGGAUGGAUGGUUCGCUUUCGGGCGCUACUAUCUGUCUGACCUACUCUAGUCGUGGAUGCCUUGGGUGCUCUUAAUUGAGUGCUUUUGGUGCCCGACGCAAUUACUUUGAAAAAAUUAGAGUGCUCAAAGCAGGCGUAUUGCCUGAAUAGUGUUGCAUGGAAUAAUGAAAUAGGAGUUUACUUCUAUUUUGUUGGUUUUCGGAGGUGAACUAAUGAUUAACAGGGACAGACGGGGGCAUUUGUAUGGAGGGGUUAGAGGUGAAAUUCUUGGAUCCUCUCCAGACAAACUACUGCGAAAGCAUUUGCCAGGAAUGUUUUCACUAAUCAAGAACGAAAGUCAGAGGUUCGAAGACGAUCAGAUACCGUCCUAGUUCUGACCAUAAAUGAUGCCAUCUAACAAUCCACGAAGUUUGCUUGUACGAACUCGUGGGCGGUCCCCGGGAAACCAAAGAUUUUGGGUUCCGGGGGAAGUAUGGUUGCAAAGCUGAAACUUAAAGGAAUUGACGGAAGGGCACCACCAGGAGUGGAGCCUGCGGCUUAAUUUGACUCAACACGGGAAACCUCACCCGGCCCGGACACUUUUAGGAUUGACAGAUUGAAGGCUCUUUCUUGAUCAAGUGGUUGGUGGUGCAUGGCCGUUCUUAGUUGGUGGAGCGAUUUGUCUGGUUAAUUCCGAUAACGAACGAGACUCUACUCUGCUAAAUAGAACGUUGAUAUAUAAAAGUCAGUGCUGACUUCUUAGAGAGACUAACGGCGUUUAGCCGUGUGAGAAAGAGCAAUAACAGGUCUGUGAUGCCCUUAGAUGUCCGGGGCCGCACGCGCGCUACACUGACUGCAGCAACUAGUAUGCUCCUGGUUUGAAAAAACUGGGUAACCUGGUUGAAUUGCAGGCGUGACAGGGAUCAGAGUUUGCAAUUAUCCUCUGUGAACGAGGAAUUCCCAGUAAGCGCAAGUCAUUAGCUUGUGCUGAUUACGUCCCUGCCCUUUGUACGCACCGCCCGUCGCUACUACCGAUUGAAUGGUUUAGUGAGGUCUUCGGAUUGGUGCUGAUGGAGUGGUUCUCUGCUCUGUUAGUGCCGAGAAGAUGAUCAAACUUGAUCAUUUAGAGGAAGUAAAAGUCGUAACAAGGU